rnacentral:rRNA from 1 species
CCUACGGGGGGCAGCAGUGAGGAAUAUUGGUCAAUGGGCGCGAGCCUGAACCAGCCAAGUAGCGUGAAGGAUGACUGCCCUACGGGUUGAAAACUUCUUUUAUAAAGGAAUAAAGUGAGGCACGUGUGCCUUUUUGUAUGUACUUUAUGAAUAAGGAUCGGCUAACUCCGUGCCAGCAGCCGCGGUAAUACGGAGGAUCCGAGCGUUAUCCGGAUUUAUGGGGUUUAAAGGGAGCGUAGAUGGGUUGUUAAGUCAGUUGUGAAAGUUUUCGGCUCAACCGUAAAAUUGCAAUUGAUACUGGCAGCCUUGAGUACAGUUGAGGUAGGCGGAAUGCUUGGUGUAGCGGUGAAAUGCAUAGAUAUCACGCAGAACUCCGAUUGCGAAGGCAGCUUACUAAGCCAUAACUGACACUGACGCACGAAAGCGUGGGGAUCAAACAGGAUUAGAUACCCCAGUAGUC